rnacentral:rRNA from 1 species
GCUUGUCUCAAAGAUUAAGCCAUGCAUGUCUAAGUAUAAAUAACUACACAGUAAAACUGCGAAUGGCUCAUUAAAACAGUUAUAGUUUAUUUGAUAUAUUAUAUGGAUAACUGUAGAAAAACUAGAGCUAAUACAUGCCAUAACCGUAAGGUUGUAUUUAUUAGAUAUUCCUGGUAGGUGAUUCAUAAUAACUUAGCGAAUCGUGACUCGUUCACGAUAAAUCAUUCAAGUUUCUGCCCUAUCAUGCUUUCGAUGGUAGUGUAUUGGACUACCAUGGCUCUCACGGGUAACGGAGAAUUAGGGUUCGAUUCCGGAGAAGGAGCCUGAGAAACGGCUACUACAUCUAAGGAAGGCAGCAGG